CUGCCCCUGUCAGGGGGACAACCCGCCGAAAGGCGGGCUAAACCCGCGUACAUGCCACCGGGGCAUCCCGGAGGCAGGAAAGGCUUCGGCCGGACAGGGAUGGGCAUGCGGCGCAUUAGGCAGUAGGCGGGGUAACGGCCCACCUAACCGACGAUGCGUAGGGGUUCUGAGAGGAAGGUCCCCCACACUGGUACUGAGACACGGACCAGACUCCUACGGGAGGCAGCAGUGAGGAAUAUUGGUCAAUGGUCGGGAGACUGAACCAGCCAAGCCGCGUGAGGGAGGAAGGUACAGAGUAUCGUAAACCUCUUUUGUCAGGGAACAAAGACUGGGACGCGUCCCCGGAUGAGUGUACCUGAAGAAAAAGCAUCGGCUAACUCCGUGCCAGCAGCCGCGGUAAUACGGAGGAUGCGAGCGUUAUCCGGAUUUAUUGGGUUUAAAGGGUGCGCAGGCGGUCUGUUAAGUCAGCGGUCAAAGCCCGGGGCUCAACCCCGGCCCGCCGUUGAAACUGGCAGUCUCGAGUUGGAGAGAAGUAUGCGGAAUGCGCGGUGUAGCGGUGAAAUGCAUAGAUAUCGCGCAGAACUCCGAUUGCGAAGGCAGCAUGCCGGCUCCACACUGACGCUGAGGCACGAAAGCGUGGGUAUCGAACAGGAUUAGAUACCCUGGUAGUCCACGCAGUAAAC
rnacentral:rRNA from 1 species